GUGGGGAAUCUUCCGCAAUGGACGAAAGUCUGACGGAGCGACGCCGCGUGAGUGAAGAAGGCCUUCGGGUCGUAAAGCUCUGUCAUCAGGGACGAACGGCCGGUGGAGUGGAAAGCCACCGGAUUGACGGUACCUGAGAAGGAAGCCACGGCUAACUACGUGCCAGCAGCCGCGGUAAUACGUAGGUGGCAAGCGUUGUCCGGAAUUAUUGGGCGUAAAGCGCGCGCAGGUGGGAUCUUAAGUCCAUUUUGAAAGUUCGGAGCUCAACUCCGUGAUGGGAUGGAAACUGGGAUUCUUGAGUACCGGAGAGGAAAGCGGAAUUCCCCGUGUAGCGGUGAAAUGCGUAGAUAUGGGGAGGAACACCAGUGGCGAAGGCGGCUUUCUGGACGGUGUCUGACACUGAGGCGCGAAAGCUAGGGGAGCGAACGGGAUUAGAAACCCGGGUAGUCC
rnacentral:rRNA from 1 species